rnacentral:rRNA from 1 species
GUGCCAGCGGUGGAGCAUGUGGUUUAUUCGAUGCAACGCGAAGAACCUUACCUACUCUUGACAUCCAGAGAACUUUCCAGAGAUGGAUUGGUGCCUUCGGGAACUCUGAGACAGGUGCUGCAUGGCUGUCGUCAGCUCGUGUUGUGAAAUGUUGGGUUAAGUCCCGCAACGAGCGCAACCCUUAUCCUUUGUUGCCAGCGGUUCGGCCGGGAACUCAAAGGAGACUGCCAGUGAUAAACUGGAGGAAGGUGGGGAUGACGUCAAGUCAUCAUGGCCCUUACGAGUAGGGCUACACACGUGCUACAAUGGCGUAUACAAAGAGAAGCGAACCUGCGAAGGCAAGCGGACCUCAUAAAGUACGUCGUAGUCCGGAUUGGAGUCUGCAACUCGACUCCAUGAAGUCGGAAUCGCUAGUAAUCGUAGAUCAGAAUGCUACGGUGAAUACGUUCCCGGGCCUUGUACCACCGGCCCGUAUUGA